AACGAACGCUGGCGGCAUGCCUAACACAUGCCAGUCGAACGAGACCUUCGGGUCUAGUGGCGCACGGGUGCGUAACGCGUGGGAAUCUACCCUCAGGUUCGGAAUAACUCAGAGAAAUUUGAGCUAAUACCGAUGAUGACGUAAGUCCAAAGAUUUAUCGCCUGAGGAUGAGCCCGCGUAGGAUUAGGUAGUUGGUGAGGUAAAGGCUCACCAAGCCGACGAUCCUUAGCUGGUCUGAGAGGAUGAUCAGCCACACUGGGACUGAGACACGGCCCAGACUCCUACGGGAGGCAGCAGUGGGGAAUAUUGGACAAUGGGCGAAAGCCUGAUCCAGCAAUGCCGCGUGAGUGAUGAAGGCCUUAGGGUUGUAAAGCUCUUUUACCCGGGAUGAUAAUGACAGUACCGGGAGAAUAAGCGCCGGCUAACUCCGUG
rnacentral:rRNA from 1 species